rnacentral:pre_miRNA from 1 species
UAAAAGACAAACCCUGGUUUCCGUGCCCAACGUUUGAUCGUCCGUCUUAUUUGAAAAAAUUAUGAAAAAAAUUAAAAAGAUAAGUCACGCAUAAAAUAUUAAUCAUGUUUUAUCAUCUAACAACAAUGGAAAUACGAAUUAUAAAAAAAAAUCAUAUAAGACGGACAGUCAAAGUUGGACACAGAAACCCAGGGUUUGCCUUUUU